AUUGAACGCUGGCGGCAGGCCUAACACAUGCAAGUCGAGCGAGCGGCGGACGGGUGAGUAAUGUAUGGGGACUGCCCGAUAGAGGGGGAUAACUACUGGAAACGGUGGCUAAUACCGCAUACUAUCGGAUAACCCAUAUUGGAUUAGCUAGUAGGUGGGGGAAAGGCUCACCUAGGCGACGAUCUCUAGCUGGUCUGAGAGGAUGAUCAUCAACACAGGGACUGUAACACGGCCCAGACUCCUACGGAGUCAGCAGUGGGGAAUAUUGCACAAUGGGGUAAAGCCAGAUGCAGCCAUGCCGCUUGUAUGAAGAAGGCCUUAGGGUUGUAAAGUACUUUCAGCGUGGAGGCGUUACCCGCAGAAGAAGCACCGGCUAGCACCGUGCCAGCAGCCGCGGUAAUUC
rnacentral:rRNA from 1 species